UACGUAGGGUGCAAGCGUUGUCCGGAAUUAUUGGGCGUAAAGAGCUCGUAGGCGGUCUGUCGCGUCGGCUGUGAAAUCCCGAGGCUCAACCUCGGGUCUGCAGUCGAUACGGGCAAACUGGAGUGUUGCAGGGGAGACUGGAAUUCCUGGUGUAGCGGUGAAAUGCGCAGAUAUCAGGAGGAACACCGGUAGUGGCAAGGCGGGUCUCUGGGCAGUAACUGACGCUGAGGAACGAAAGCGUGGGUAGCAAACAGG
rnacentral:rRNA from 1 species